CUUGGUCAUUUAGAGGAAGUAAAAGUCGUAACAAGGUUUCCGUAGGUGAACCUGCGGAAGGAUCAUYAUUGAAACAACUAUGGGCGCCGAGGGCUGUCGCUGACCAUUAAUUAUAUUAUGGUCGUGCACGCCCAAAGUGUUCUCAUCCAUCUCACCCCUUUGUGCAUCACCGCGUGGGCUUCCUUUGGAUCCCUCCAAAGGUGGCUUACGUUUUUCUACACAAACACACCUUACUUAAUUUGAAUGUCUCUUCUUUUGCGGUCACACGCAAUCAAUACAACUUUCAACAACGGAUCUCUUGGCUCUCACAUCGAUGAAGAACGCAGCGAAAUGCGAUACGUAAUGUGAAUUGCAGAAUUCAGUGAAUCAUCGAAUCUUUGAACGCACCUUGCGCCCCUUGGUAUUCCGAGGGGCACACCCGUUUGAGUGUCGUGAAAUUCUCAACCUCCUCGGUUUCUUUUUUGGACCCGGGGGAAGGCUUGGACUUUGGAGGCUUCUGCUGGCCCCACAAACCUGCUGGGCCAGCUCCUCUUAAAUGGAUUAGCAGGGUCUUCUUUGCUGAUCCCUUGACGUGAUAAGAUGUUUCUACGUCUUGGGCUCGGCUCUGUUUCUUGGGACCUGCUCCUAACCGUCUCAUUUGGAGACAAAUGUGUGUUCAAAAAGUAAUUUAAUUUAAUUUUUGAAUGCCCCAUUGAACCCUUGACCUCAAAUCGGGUGAGACUACCCGCUGAACUUAAGCAUAUCAAUAAGCGGAGGAAAAGAAACUAACAAGGAUUCCCCUAGUAACUGCGAGUGAAGCGGGAAAAGCUCAAAUUUAAAAUCUGGCGGUCUUUGGCCGUCCGAGUUGUAAUUUAGAGAAGCGUCUUCCGCGCCGGACUGUGCACAAGUCUCCUGGAAUGGAGCGUCAUAGAGGGUGAGAAUCCCGUCUUUGGCACGGACCCCCGGUGCUUCUGUGAUGCGCUCUCAAAGAGUCGAGUUGUUUGGGAAUGCAGCUCAAAAUGGGUGGUGAACUCCAUCUAAAGCUAAAUAUUGGUGAGAGACCGAUAGCGAACAAGUACCGUGAGGGAAAGAUGAAAAGCACUUUGGAAAGAGAGUGAAACAGUACGUGAAAUUGUUGAAAGGGAAACGCUUGAAGUCAGUCGCGUCGACCGAGACUCAGCCUUGCCUUGGCUUGGUGAACUUCUCGGCCUGACGGGUCAGCAUCAAUUUCACCCCUCAGAUAAUGGCAAGGGAAAGGUGGCACCUUUACAGGUGUGUUAUAGUCCUCUGUCGCAUGUGAGGGUCGGGAUUGAGGAACUCAGCGUGCACCUCUUGGUGUCGGGGCUUCGGCUCACGUCACGCGCUUAGGAUGCUGGCGUAAUGGCUUUAAACGACCCGUCUUGAAACACGGACCAAGGAGUCUAACAUGCCCGCGAGUGUUCGGGUGGAAAACCCGUGCGCGUAAUGAAAGUGAAAGUUGGGACCUCUGUCGUGGAGGGCACCGACGCCCGGACCAGACCUUCUGUGACGGAUCUGCGGUAGAGCGUGUAUGUUGGGACCCGAAAGAUGGUGAACUAUGCCUGAAUAGGGUGAAGCCAGAGGAAACUCUGGUGGAGGCUCGUAGCGAUUCUGACGUGCAAAUCGAUCGUCAAAUUUGGGUAUAGGGGCGAAAGACUAAUCGAACCAUCUAGUAGCUGU
rnacentral:rRNA from 1 species